rnacentral:rRNA from 1 species
UACGUAGGGUGCGAGCGUUAAUCGGAAUUACUGGGCGUAAAGCGUGCGCAGGCGGUUUUGUAAGCCAGAUGUGAAAUCCCCGGGCUUAACCUGGGAAUGGCAUUUGGGACUGCAAGGCUUGAGUGCGGCAGAGGAGACUGGAAUUCCUGGUGUAGCAGUGAAAUGCGUAGAUAUCAGUAGGAACACCAAUGGCGAAGGCAGCUUGCUGGCAUGUAUCUGACGCUAAGGCACGAAAGCGUGGGGAGCGAACAGG